UACGUAGGGUGCAAGCGUUGUCCGGAAUUAUUGGGCGUAAAGAGCUCGUAGGCGGUUUGUCGCGUCUUCUGUGAAAACCCGAGGCUCAACCUCGGGCCUGCAGUGGGUACGGGCAGACUAGAGUGCGGUAGGGGAGAGUGGAAUUCCUGGUGUAGCGGUGGAAUGCGCAGAUAUCAGGAGGAACACCAAUGGCGAAGGCAGAUCUCUGGGCCGUAACUGACGCUGAGGAGCGAAAGCAUGGGGAGCGAACAGG
rnacentral:rRNA from 1 species